UACGGGGGGGGCAAGCGUUGUUCGGAAUUACUGGGCGUAAAGGGCUCGUAGGUGGCCAACUAAGUCAGACGUGAAAUCCCUCGGCCUAACCGAGGAACUGCGCUUGAAACUACCAGACUCGAGGGAGAUAGAGGAAAGCGGAACUGAUGGUGGAGCGGUGAAAUGCGUUGAUAUCAUCAGGAACACCGGUGGCGAAGGCGGCUGGCUGGGCGUUAACUGACGCUGAGGAACGAAAGCCAGGGGAGCGAACGGG
rnacentral:rRNA from 1 species